AUUGAACGCUGGCGGCAGGCCUAACACAUGCAAGUCGAGCGGGGUUUUCGGACCUAGCGGCGGACGGGUGAGUAAUGCGUAGGAAGCUACCCGAUAGAGGGGGAUACCAGUUGGAAACGACUGUUAAUACCGCAUAAUGUCUACGGACCAAAGUGUGGGACCUUCGGGCCACAUGCUAUCGGAUGCGCCUACGUGGGAUUAGCUAGUUGGUGAGGUAAUGGCUCACCAAGGCGACGAUCCCUAGCUGGUUUGAGAGGAUGAUCAGCCAAACUGGAACUGAGACACGGUCCAGACUCCUACGGGAGGCAGCAGUGGGGAAUAUUGGAGAAUGGGCGCAAGCCUGAUCCAGCCAUGCCGCGUGUGUGAAGAAGGCCUUCGGGUUGUAAAGCACUUUCAGUAGGGAGGAAGCGUUGUGUGUUAAUAGUACACAGCGUUGACGUUACCUACAGAAGAAGCACCGGCUAACUCUGUGCCAGCCGCCGCCGUAAAAC
rnacentral:rRNA from 1 species